UUUUUUUUGUCUUUUUUCGUUUUUAUCGGUACCAGGGAUCGAACUCACGACUGCUUGCUUGCAAGGCAGGUGCUUAUGCCGCUGAGCUAAAUCCCCAGCCCCCUGUCUUAUCUGAUUUUAAACUUGUUAAGAUUAGACAGGACACCACAUAAUUUUGUUCUUUCUGCUUAAUAUUUUGUAAGAAUCCUCCAUUUGCUCAUGUGUUACUCAUUUACUCACCUUUGCUAUUCGCCUGCUGCUGAGCCCGUGUUCUGCUGAUGAGCAGUCUGGCUACUCAUCUACAUGGCUUGCAGAGGCAGGGGCAUUCAGAGGGAGGGGAGAGGAAAAGAGGAAGUUGUUCUGGCCCAGAAAACUGAGUGGGUAGGAGGGCCCCUAAGGAUGCAAGGAAAGGGCAUUGGAGGUCUUUUUUUUUUUUUUUUUUUUUUUUUUUUUUUUUGUCUUUUUCCUUUUUAUCAGUACCAGAGUUCGAACUCACGACUGCCUGCUUGCAAGGCAGGAGCUUAUGCCGCUGAGCUAAGUCCCCAGCCCCUGGAGGUCUUUUCGAUGUUUCCUCCUGUCCAAGACUGGAGGGGUACAGUUCCCCAAAAGCCACGGUUUGAUUGGCACGGACAUGACCUGCCAUGCUCUGGGCGACCUGAUCCCACUUUUCUGUUCCCUCUGUGAUACAGGCCAGCUCCAUCUGCACAGAGAGGCCAGGAAAGACAGUUUAUUGUAAAAUACUGCCUUUGGGAGACAGAGGAAAUGCUACAAAUGGGCCAGCAAGUGCUUCUCCUUCCCCAGGAAAGGCAUGCUGUAAGAUGUUUGUGUUUGGAAGUUCAGUUGUUGCCUGUCUAUCCAGAUGCUGGCUUGCUUUGAGGUACGUGAGCCCUGGAGCAAAGAGGCUUUCACAGCUGGCUGCUUGCCCACAUCUCACCCAUGCUGAAAGAGAGGCUGCCCAGUAGAGUCCAUCUCUUGGGGACUGCCAAUAGCUUCAUUCUUACCAGGGAAACUCUCUCAAGCAACACUCCCACCCUCGUAUUUAACGCUGAGGACUGUCCUGGCUGGAGAUGGCCAGGUGGGAGACUUUGGCCUCUUGGGAGAUGUCCCUCUUCUCUCUGGGUUGGCAGCUACCAACCCAGUGAAAGGAAGCUUGCUCUGUUUCCUCAUUGGAGUCUCAGCAGCUCAAAGAGUAGACUGAACAAGCAUCCUCACAUUCCAAGAAGUCGACACAGCCAAGCGCAUGCCUGUAAUACCAGCACUCAGGAGACUGAUGCAGAAGGAUCUCCAAGAGUUAGAGGCCAGCCUGGGGCACCUAGUGAGUUCAAGGUCAGCCUGGGCUACAGAGCAACUCCCUGUCUCAGAAAACCAGAGACAGAAAGAGAGACAGAGAGAGACAGAGACAGAGGCAGAGAGCGGGAGAGAAGAAAAUUGAUGCAGAUGAGCGUGCUCAAGCCUACCCUAGAGAUUAGCACCUAAGAGGCCAGAACACAAGGCUUCCACCCAGAGUUGGGCUUGUUGGGCACAGAGGCAUAAACAGGCAGUUGCCUAGGGAGGCACUGAACUGCAGCAUCACCAGUCUGAGGCUGUCUCAGCCCCUGGUGGAAUUAGUGUCUGUAGCAAAUUGAUCUUAAAUGCAGGUUUGUCCCUGUGUUAGACACGGAAAUCAUGGAGUUGAGAGGGAGCUCCUCCUCAGAACUAAAGUGAAUUUAGUGAGUGGCUCAUUUCUUAUAGUGUUGACUGCUUUAUGCAUAAUUCAACAUAGUACUCAAAUUGGAAAAAAAUGGGUCUGUAUGAAUCCAAUAUAAUUGCACUAGUUCUUUUACAAUUCAGUGUUCCUUUGUCAUUGCUCUAGAGCCCUCUCCUGCAGUUUUAGGUCUCUUGCACACAGCCUCUUGCUGAACUUUCUACUCUUCUCUGGUCGCCAUUGCUUCCUCCCAGCAGCCUGGGCUCAGGAGAAACUAGAUGGGCAGUGGCUGGGAGUGUGACUUCCGGAGGCAUGGCCCCAGAUGCCAACUAUGGCUAUGCCGCUUGUUCGCUUUGGGCAAAGCGUUUCCUACUCUACAGAGUGCAAUCACCUUAGAUUUAGAUGAGAAUAUGAUAGUAACUACCUGAAUGGGUUGAAAGAUGAAACUUGUUGAUUCAUAGAAAGUACUUAACUAGUUCCUGGCUCAUGACAGACCUUUACUAUUGCCACCAGUUUGGUCCCUUUUCUGUUAAGAAUCUUCAAAUGAGGGGCUGGGGAUUUAGCUCAGCGGCAUAAGCGCCUGCCUUGCAAGCAGGCAGUCGUGAGUUCAAUCCCCGGUACCGAUAAAAAAGGGAAAAGACCACAAAAAAAAAAAAAAAAAAAAAAAAAAAGAAUCUUCAAAUGGCCAUAGAAAUGGACCAGUGUUUAGCCUGACAUAGGACACUACUGUGGACCAAACAAUUAACAGAGAUUUCCUGGCUUACCUUGUUCACUAACCCAUAUACUUUGUUUCGCAAACUUCCCCUCCUACCUUGACUCACUUUGACUUCACACGGCUAACUGUUGAACUCACUACUGUCCCUAAAGAACAGGCUCCCUGGCCAGCACGGCAUGGACUCCCUUUGUCCUUUAAGCUGUAUCUAACUAGCCAGUCCCCAAGUUCCUGCAGCCAGGGCUGAGGGUAUAGAUUAGCAGUACAGCAUUUGCAUGUAUGAGGUCCUGGUUUCAACCUCUAGUAUUAUAUUCACCUCCCUUAAAAUUUUUUCAAGUCUUAAUCCAGAGCCAGGGACAUAGCUCAGUGGUAUAAGUGCCUGCCUGGCAAGCGCAAGAUGGUGAGUUCAAUCCUCAGUACCUAAAAAAAAAGUCUUCAUCCAAGUUCUUAAAGCCAGUAACGAAAGAAUGCAAAAGUCACUGGACAUGGAAUGUAUUCCCUCUACAACUCUCCAUGUAAACAUCACUCCCUGUUCAACACUCCAUUCAACUGCCCCAUUCUGCCAUCUGUCAUGCACUGGAAGACAAUGGAAAUGUCUGACAACGAAAAUACAGUGAAAUCAAUGCCAAAGUGCAAGUCAAGAUUUUGCAAAACAUGCAGCAUUUCAUACAGUUGUGAGGAGAGUGAAACUGCUCAAAAGAGCCCAGCCACUGACAAAUGAGGCUCUGAAAGAAUUCAUUAGGCCCCUCGACAAAUGAAGAGGACAUACAUGUCCCUAACCCUAACUAAUUAGGUGCUUCACAGGGGGAUGAUCUGAAUAUCAAGUUGAAGUAUUAAGUAGGGAACCGAGGAAGCCCUUGACUAACUUGCAAAAAUGAUCCGGAGACUGAUCAUACCAUCAAACGUAACAUGAGCUCCUAUUUUUGCAGUCAUAACUUGAGGGGGGGGGCACACCUUAAAUAUUUUCUCUAAGCAGUUACAUUUGGUUGACAGAUACUUGUCUCAACUGAACACUGGGGAGCCAGUGCACAAUGGCACACACCUGUAAUCCUAGCUUUAGUACUUGGGCAGCUGAGGCAGAAUAACAACUUCAAUCCCAGAAAAUUUGUGAGACCCUGUCUCAAAAUAAAAUUUUAAAGAAGUUGAGGAUGUAGCUCAUUGGUAGGGUUCUUAUCUAGCAUGCACAAGACCAUUGGUUCAAUCCCUAGUGAUGUAAAAACAAACCAACAAAAAAAACACUAGGAAUAUGGUGACUGAAGGGUAUAAAAUUUCAAUUGGCUAGGAAGAAUAAAUUUAGGAGAUCUAGUGUACAAUAUUCUGACUAUAGUUAAUAACUAUGCAUUCUUAAAAAUUUCUGAGAGGUAAGCCAGAUGUGGUGAUGCAUGCCCAUGAUUCCAGCACUUGGGAGGCUGAGACAGGAGGAUCACAAGUUUGAGGCCAGCCUGGGCUACAUAUUGAGUUCAAAGCCAGCCAGAAAUACAUAGUAAGACCCUGUCUCAAAAAAAUAAAAAAAAUUUAAAAAUAAAAUAAAAAUCACAAUUUUAAGUUCUUUCAUCACAAAAAGAUGAGGUAAUCUAUGUUUAUUAGUUCAAUUACAUAUAUCUCAAAAUAUGUACAAAAUACGUUUUAAUUAAAAUUAUUUAAAUAAUUUACACAAUUUUACCAAUUAAAAUUUAGAACAGAUAUAAGCUUCAUUUUUCAAGAUAAAAUUCUGGUUAUACCUUUUUCUCUUUUAUAUAUGACGCUGGUCUCUUUUUAAGGUAGUUUUACUUGAAGAGGCUUUUUCAAAUCUUGUUCAUUUUGGGUAAUAAAUCUUUACAAGUAUUUAUCUACCUGCCUCAUUUUCCCUAACAGGGCACAUAAUUUAGGGCAAAUAGUGCCAGAGACUGACAAAAAUGCCAUGACAACUCACAGAACAGCGGGGGUGGGAAUGCAUGAGUCACCAGGGAAGUCUGGACACAGCCGUACCUAACUUCUUGUUUAGAGUGAGUCACAAGGCAUAUCCAGAGCUGCUAGAACCAAAGGCCCCAGUUGAGGCCUUGGCCAGUCUCCCUAGCACUGUGGUGUGCCAGGCUGCUGAGGUGGCACCAAGGGGCCCAAGCAGCCAGCCUGGCUCUUGCCCUCAGUCAGACCCAGGAACUUCAAAUGCUGGGGGUAGGGAGUGGGUCUCUAAGUACCUCAGGACCUGGGUGCCAAGAGUUUCCCAAGAGACCCUGAUACAGCCUCCUGUUCCCCCCUAGGGCAGCACACAAAACUGUAUGCAAUGGCUUUGGCUACUCUGGUUCAUUCACAUCAUGGUAUGGGUCAGAACUUCCUAUGUAAGAGCUUCAUAAAGGGUUUAAAUGGCAGUAUUCCCCACAGAGGUGUUGGGGGAAAUUCAGCUGUAACAUGGAAAUAGGUGUGAACUUACUUCCUUCUUCAGGUUGGGAGAAAAGUCAAAUGGGGACUGAUGUCAUCCCUGUGCUAGGCAUUGCCCACAUCCUACAGGCAGAGAACAGCACAGCCUCUGUGUCCAUGAAAACUAGCCCCCAAAUCUACAUGACAGAGCCAUGUUGGGGAGGAAUACAGAAACAUACAUGUGAGGCAUGGUCCCAUGGGCUGGCUGGGGGCAGCUAAUGCAGUCUCCUCUAGCAUAUGGGGAAGGAGCCUCCCCUGCAUCUCUGGCAGAAUUCAGAUGAACUGAGGUUAGCAGCAACACGCUUCUGUGUGUUUUUUUAAUUUUGUCUUUUUGAGACAGGGUCUCGCUGUGCAGUUCAGGCUGGCCUUGAGCUCACUUUGUAGCCCAGCCUGGUCUCGAACUCACAACGAUCCUCCUGUCUCAGCCUCCCGAGUGCUGGGAUUACAGGCAUGAGCCACCACGCCUGGCUAACAACACGCUUCUGUUUUGAGAAUUUUUUUUCCUCAGUGCUAAGGAUGCAACCCAGGGCAAGUGCCCCACUGACCUGUACCCACAAGCCUGCUUCCUGAAUCUCCUAGAAAGCAUGAGGGAAGGAGGGUAGGAGCUGAGCCUCAGGAGCAUCACAGACAACUGCAGGGCAGAAGACAUGGCGGAGGUGACAGCUGCGUAUCCUCAGGUGGCUGAGAGGUGGCUUUGGAGCAGGGCUGGUGUGCAUGAAUGGCACCAGUGCAGCAUGAGACAGCAGGAGUGUGGUGAGGAAGAAGGGAAGGUGGCGUAGAGGCCAACUCUUUCUAGAAGAUCCACAUUGAAGGUAAGGAGAGGGAUACUUGGACUUGCAACAUUUGCUUUUCAGGUCUGAAAAUUUGACAGCUUUAAGGGCAGGGAAGGAAACAAAUUGAGAGAGACUAAAGGCAUGAGACACAAAACCCCACACCUUGUGACUGAUGUCAUUUAUGUUAGAGCUUUUGCUGCAAGAUAAAAUUUAUACCAUGGUUUGAUGAGUGUGUAACAGGUACCAAAAAUAAAUGAAGCCUUGAUAUAUAGUAUUAAAAAUAAAUCAAAACCAUGGCAACCCACCAAGUCAGUCAGUUGCCUCCAGGAAACAGGAGUCUUACUUGUGACUGUAUACAUUUUUGUAUUAAAUUUGUGUUAACAACCGUAUCACUUUUUUUCAGUGUUGGGGAUGGAACUCAGCUUCCCACAUGCUAGGCAAGUGUUCCACUGUGAGGUACCUCCCCAAGGGAAACCGGAAAGACCUCAGUGGAGUCUUCCCUCAAAGUCUUCCAUGCUAAAACAAUUCUCUGAGAAGAUCAUCUCUAUUUAGCACUCUUUAAAAACAAUACAAGGAGUGGUGGUACUAUCUGACCUGUAAGUUAUUAGCAUCAUUUCAAUGAAUGACCAACUCAAAAGAAAUAGCUCUGAAAACAUAACCAGCUCCUUACAAGAUUAGCCUCUGCAGAAGCAUCACUUUUUGUCAAAAGCAAGAUGGACAAGUUGACCUCAACAGUCAGGAGGAGAACACUUGCCACAGUUGGAGACUCAUUCUCAGUGGUCUCCUCUAUAAACUGUUAUGAAUCCUCUCAACCCCACCUGCCUGCCUGUGCUCCCCUGCCCCAGACUUCAACCUAGUGAGUGUAGAAGAGAGGGAAUAACAGCAUUAGUGUGAAGUUAUUGUAGAUGUGCAGACAUCACAGACAGGUUGUUGCAGAUGCUCACCACGUUUGAUCAACACGGUCAAUGUCCCUGCAAGGAGGGGAGAAAGAGCUCAGAAAAGCCAACCAAAAACAUCUGGGCUUGGAGUGCAAGAUGAGAAAAUACAUGGUCCCAGAAGCAUCAUUAAUAGACAGAGGCUGAUCCAUUUUCAAUCCAUGCUCACUUGUAUAGGUGAGCCAUGGCGUGAUUCUAAUAAACUUCCUAUCCCAAGAACACUGAACAUCUGCCACACAGUCACCACCCCAGCUGGGCCUAGGCAUCCUUAAUAACGCACUAUCCAAACCUAGGAGGAGAGAGAAGUUGGAGCCUUAAGGAUUAAAGACUAUGCUCAGCUAUUUCUACUACUGCCUCCAGCUAUGUCUGCUCAUUAAUAGCAGAAAGGACAAGUUUGGAACCUUGGAGCAGACAAAGAACAGGAAAAUGAAAUUCUCUGACUAUAGCCAGAAAACAGUUUUUGUUCACAGUAGCCAUGCUGCAUUUUACACUGGGAAUAAGACAGUGACUUGAGUGAUGUUACCCUACCAAUCUGGGAAACAAAACAAAAAAAGAUAUCAUUUACUCAUUUCAAAAUUUAACAGUGAUCACUCCAAACUAGAACAAAGAUACCAAAUGCAAUUCUGCAAACAUAAAGGAGGAGACCCCAGGGUCUGCCCAGUCAGAACACUUCCAGCAGGAAGCCUGCUACAUUCCACUCUGCAAACCCUGUGUAGUCCCCAUACCCAGUCCACCCUACCGUAUCCACAAUGUACCUGCAGUGGUGCUUCCUGCUGGCAAGCCAGAAGGCACUGUCACACGCAUAGCAGUGGGCAGCCAGGUGGUCAGGAAGCCAACGGGUCAUCUGCAAAACAGGUGGGGCCAGGUUAGUGACCAGAAAUGGGCCGUUCCACUGAAGCCAACAGAGCCACGCUGCGGGCAGCAAGAGUUACAUGGACCACAUACACUCCUAUAGCACCAGCUCAACAGGUCUGAUGUCAACAGUACAAGAAAGGCGUCCACAUCAUUUUCCUGGAGGUGACUCCAAUGUCCCCUGACAUAAAAUAGCAGGCGGCAGCACCCUGGUCACUGGGAGAGCUGGCAAGGUUCCAAUUCAUGGAGACAUUGAAGACAGAAGACCAGCUCCCUAGCUUAGAAAUGAUGGACAUGAUGUAGGUUCACAGGAACUGAAACACCAGAGACUCAAGGCUAACUGUAUUAUGAUGAUCUUCCUUGGCCAGGGGCAUGGGGCAGGGAUGGGAAUAGAGAAGAACUGCAGAACAGUUGCAUGGAUGGCACUCUGUGCAGGGAUUGAGCCUGUACCUCUGUGUCCUGUUUAUCCACCUGCUCCCAGCUGGCUUCAGAGAAAAUCUCUGUGCUGCAGCGAGACAAACAGUUCUGAUCCAGAUUGCUUUCCGAGUCGGGUAUUGAAGUCUGUUGGCAAACAAACAUAGCUGAACAGAAUGAACCUUGUUUCCUCCCAAAAGAAGAAAGGGCUUGGUGAAGAAGGGAGCACUGGGGACUAUGGGUGAGUCUGAAUGCUGGGGCUGCCAAAUUUGCAGAUGCAGCAGCCACUGAGUUUUGUGUUGAACAACUGCAGAGACAAGAUUGAGGCUGAAAGAGGGACACAUGGGUUCAAUACAGUGACAUUAGAAUGGAAAGAUAGGUCUCAGGGCUAAGGAAGUGAGGAAAGUGACCAGGAUGAGUAAGAACUCCCAGUUUCAGUGCUCUGGUGGGUCUGUUGAUCCAAACUUGCUCCUUAGUUAAAACUGUGCUUUGGCUAUACCCACAUUUCUCAGAAGGACUCUUUACAAAAAUGAGAAAUCAUCAUUAUUAUUAAAGAAAUGCCAAAAAGUUACUUUGGAUUGAAAAUCAUCAGAUAUGCUCGCCUUUAAUGUACACUGACAGCUUCAGAGCCUGGCUCGUACUUGUACUUGACAGACCCACUCAGGUCUGUCAAGAAAAUGUCUUUGGAAAACCUUCCCACUGGAGCCCUCAUUUUUGGCCACCUAGCACCAUCAGCACAACUUCUCAACAAUACUAGAAACCAAUCCCUUCUUUCCAUUUCUACUUCCAGUAUCUGCCACAGUGUGUGUCCAAAUACUCAUUUAAAAAAUAACUAAGCUUUCAAAGAUAUAGCCCAUGUCUGGAAGUUUACUAGUUACUGACAGGACAAGUACUACAAUUUGACAGGAAUAUUUGGCAUUGCCUUACAAAUACUAUUCUAGUCAGCAGUUCAAGACCUUCUAUGGACAUAGAAUACUCUCUGAAGAAAUUUGAUCACCAGAUGCUAACUCUUUCCUGUUCACUAAGUGUCUCAACAGGACACAGGAAAUAAGGAAAGCUGAAAAGAGGCACACUGCCAUUCAGGUGGCUGAAGAUGACUUCUAACUUCUGUCAGCAGGGAUACUUUGGACCUGCUCAAUCCUUUUAGAACUCGGUAUCUGUCACCACACACUGAGUCCAAAGGGUACUCAGCCUCAACGGGUCCUGUGUUGGGCAGUUAUGGAAGAACCAUGACCUACUCACCACUUCAUCUCCAAAGUCCCCAUUGAAGUGCAGGGAGCUGGUCAGGUAUUGGCUCUCAAGACGACUCUUCAGCUCCUGCACUUGUUUCUUUAGGGUCUCCACUUCCUGCUGGUGUCCUGACUCAAUCUGACGCAAGCGCUGCUGGAUUGUGUCCGUGUACACAGGCAUG